GAAUUCUGUCUCUAUCCACCCAUCACAUGGGAUUUCACCACCAUUAGCCGCUAAAACUACUAGAGUUUCUGUUCUCAAAAGCUCAGCAAGUGGCCUGACAGUGCUGUGUGAGCAUCAAACCUAAGAAUCCUUAAAGAUCUACAUCGGCAUCCGCAAGAAGCUGAAGGCUCCAACCAGCUCCUCCCACCCUCAGCACUCCCUUUGGGCCUCUGAGCCCCUUCGUUCCCCUCCCAUUGCUCAAUGCAGCUGAUCAGGUACCCCUCGCAGAUUGCAGGGAAUCACCGUCACUGUUUGAGAGUUGUAGCUGGAGGGUGAAGGCUCACAGCGCGUCCAUCAUAGAGACAUGGUGUCUCAGUCCUCAGACUGGAGAGACCACCUGCAGCAGGAGAAAGAGAUGCUGAUGGAGGAGGUCAAAGCUAAGAAGGUGAUCAGUCGUUCGGUAAUCAUAAAACUUUAUUGAUCCCUGCUGCCACAGAAAAUAGUCACAAACACACCGCCUGCUGCAGGAGCCGGUGUGGAUCCUCCACAAAGCGCUGGAGGCGGCUUAGCUGGAGAAGUGAGUCCGCGCCGAGUUUUUGGCAGAGGAGGAACGUCUGGAGCUGCUGCGACACCGCGAGUGACAGGUGGCCGACCUGUGGGGUGGCUGGACGAGGCCAAGAUGGAGGUGGAGGCGGUGAGGAAGAGUCUGGCUGAGAAGGCCACGCAGGUCACUGAGCUGCAGCAGAACAUCAGGAUGCUGAUGGAGAAGAACAACGCCAAGCAGGAGGUGAGGACAAACCAGAGGUCGCUGUCAGACUGACCUCUGGUUUGUCAUGUUAAAGUAACCUGCUCACGUUUGUUUCCAUGACUGAAAGUUUCCCUGAGAUCUGGGGCUGUUCCUGGAGCUGCUGCUGACUCAGGAAAAAACUGAGCAUGGGUGGAUGUUGAGACAGAGGGCCUCUCCCGUGCAUUCAACACUCCAUCUAAAUGACCAGCCCAGAUGAUGGAUGUGGCAUGUUAUUCAGUGGAAAACUGAGAAUCGUAGCCAAAAGAAAAAAGUGGAAUACUUGAGGAAGAUCACGGAGCAAAAGGCUCAUUGAGUGAGAGCAGUGGGCAGGUUGGUGUUCUGCACCAUUUAGUUAGGUCUCUUCAGAGGUGUUUAAAAAAAAUUUUUUCUAAGGUUUUCAGUAGUUUCCAUCCAUGAGUGAUUUGAAUUAAAACUGUGAAGAAAUCCUCCAAUAUGUGUCACAAAUCUUCAUUUAAAUGUCCUAUGAUUUACCAUGAAAUUGAGACAGUACUGAUCCAGUGGCAUUGGCUCCACACAGUGGAGAGUUGUAGUAAUGUCUAGAAAGUUCAUUGACUCAGAAAUAAACACACAUUGAACACCAGCCCAAAGACACUUUGCUCAGGGACUCCAUGCUGUCCUCAGUCCAUUCAUGAACUCCUC
ensembl:lncRNA